rnacentral:rRNA from 1 species
GACGAACGCUGGCGGCGUGCUUAACACAUGCAAGUCGAACGAUGAAACCUAGCUUGCUAGGUCGAUUAGUGGCGAACGGGUGAGUAACACGUGACUAACCUGCCCCUUUCUCUGGGAUAACGCUCCGAAAGGAGUGCUAAUACCGGAUACUCACUUCGGAGCACAUGCUCUGGAGUGGAAAGUUUUUCGGAAAGGGAUGGAGUCGCGGCCUAUCAGCUUGUUGGUGAGGUAAUGGCUCACCAAGGCGACGACGGGUAGCCGGCCUGAGAGGGCGACCGGCCACACUGGGACUGAGACACGGCCCAGACUCCUACGGGAGGCAGCAGUGGGGAAUAUUGCACAAUGGGCGCAAGCCUGAUGCAGCGACGCCGCGUGAGGGAUGAAGGUCUUCGGAUUGUAAACCUCUUUCAGUAGGGACGUAGCGAAAGUGACGGUACCUAAAGAAGAAGCACCGGCUAACUACGUGCCAGCCGCCGCUGUAA